rnacentral:rRNA from 1 species
GGAUUCCCCUAGUAACUGCGAGUGAAGCGGGAAAAGCUCAAAUUUGAAAUCUGGCGGUCUUUGGCCGUCCGAGUUGUAACCUGGAGGAGCGCUUUCCGCGCCGGACCGUGUACAAGUCUCCUGGAACGGAGCGUCAUAGAGGGUGAGAAUCCCGUCCAUGACACGGACGCCCGGUGCUUUGUGAUUGCGCCCCCGAAGAGUCGCGUUGUUUGGGAAUGCAGCGCAAAAUGGGUGGUAAAUUCCAUCUAAAGCUAAAUAUUGGCGAGAGACCGAUAGCGAACAAGUACCGUGAGGGAAAGAUGAAAAGCACUUUGGAAAGAGAGUUAAACAGUACGUGAAAUUGUUGAAAGGGAAACGCUUGAAGUCAGUCGCGUCGCACGGAACUCAGCCUGGCCUCGGCCUGGUGUACUUUCCGUGGGACGGGUCAACAUCAAUUUCGGGCGGCGGACAAGGGCGAGGGGAAUGUAGCGUCGCUUCGGCGGCGUGUUAUAGCCCCUUGUCGUAUACGCCGUGCGGGAUUGAGGACCGCAGCGCGCCCUUGUGGCCGGGGUUCGCCCACGUCACGCGCUUAGGAUGUUGGCAUAAUGGCUUUAAGCGACCCGUCUUGAAACACGGACCAAGGAGUCUAACAUGCUUGCGAGUGUUCGGGUGGAAAACCCUUGCGCGGAAUGAAAGUGAAAGUUGGGAGCCUCCGCGAGGGGGUGCACCGACGCCCGGCCCUGAAGUUCUCUGACGGUGCUGCGGUAGAGCAGGUGUGUUGGGACCCGAAAGAUGGUGAACUAUGCCUGAAUAGGGCGAAGCCAGAGGAAACUCUGGUGGAGGCUCGUAGCGAUUCUGACGUGCAAAUCGAUCGUCAAAUUUGGGUAUAGGGGCGAAAGACUAAUCGAACCAU